rnacentral:rRNA from 1 species
CACGCCCGUCACACCAUGGAAGCCAGCUGUACCGGAAGUCGGUGCACCAACCGCAAGGGAGGUAGCCGCCUAUGGUAUGACUGGUGACUGGGUG